rnacentral:rRNA from 1 species
GACGAACGCUGGCGGCGUGCUUAACACAUGCAAGUCGAACGGAAAGGCCUCUUUCGGGGGGUUCUCGCGUGGCGAACGGGUGAGUAACACGUGAGUAACCUGCCCUUCACUUUGGGAUAACUUCAGGAAACUGGGGCUAAUACCGUAUAGGAUCUCCUGCUGCAUGGUGGGGGUUGGAAAGUUUGGGCGGUUGGGGUUGGACUCGCGGCUUAUCAGCUUGUUGGUGGGGUAGUGGCUUACCAAGGCGUUGACGGGUAGCCGGCCUGAGAGGGUGAGCGGCGACAUUGGGACUGAGAUGAGGCCCAGGCGCCGACGGGAGGAAGCAGUGGGGAAUAUUGAUCAAUGGGUGGCGGCCUGAUGCAGCAACGCCGCGUGCGGGAUGACGGCCUUCGGGUUGUAAAACGCUUUCGCUCAUGACGAAGCUUUGUGUGACGGUAGUUGGUAAAGAAGCACCGGCUAACUACGUG